rnacentral:rRNA from 1 species
UACGGAGGGUGCAAGCGUUAUCCGGAUUCACUGGGUUUAAAGGGUGCGUAGGAGGGCAGGUAAGUCAGUGGUGAAAUCUCCAAGCUUAACUUGGAAACUGCCGUUGAUACUAUAGGUCUUGAAUUUUCUGGAGGUAAGCGGAAUAUGUCAUGUAGCGGUGAAAUGCUUAGAUAUGACAUAGAACACCAAUUGCGAAGGCAGCUUACUACGGGAACAUUGACACUGAGGCACGAAAGCGUGGGGAUCAAACAGG